CUCCGCACCUGCUCGCCUCAACCGCUAGUCUCGCGAGAGUUCGGUCGCGGGCUGUCCGGGUGUAGGAGGUGGCUGAGGACCAGGCGGCGGGCUUCCUUUUUUCUCGCCCGGAGGAAGGAAGACUGGGACGGAUCUUGGACAACCUAACUCAUGAGAUAGCUGUUUUCUGAGCAGUAAAUUGAGGAAGCCCAAGCAUGCCUCACUGACAUGCCCUCACUCAGCAAGGCAUCCUGAGGGAUCUAGGUGGGACCCAUAAAUAUAGGAGAGAGUUCUGAUCCUUGGACCAUUUUUGGCGUUGCACUUUCUGCUAUAUAAUACUCAUGUUAGGAGCUCGUCAUCCACUGUGGAUCAGGCAGGGUUACAGGUAAGCUUAAGAAUGGUCUUUACAGCUGUCCUCUUCCCUAAUUGGACGCUCAGUCCCAGGGACUCUCACUACCACUGUAAGCUUUAACACUUAGUGUCUAGCCUCCUAGGUAUCUUGUAUCCAUCUCUUCAUUUGAGAUACUAUGAGCUUGGACCAAAAUGGAAUUCCUCAGCAACACUGAGAAGUAUUUAGUGAAAUAAUAUGAUUUUUUUGUAUGAAUACUUUGGAAUCAAUUUAUACUUUAUAUAUAUUUUUUCCAAAUUUUCUAUAUUGGAAAAUGAAUAUUAAACUAUAGGAAUAAUUCAUAUAGUCAGAUAUUCAUAUGGUCAGAUUUACCAUGAGUUGCAUCAUCUCUGGGUUGACAAAUUUCUUUGAUACUUUAUUUAGUAUUAUAUUUGUUGGGAACCUACUCAGUGCAAGACAAUCUAAUUGCCUUUUGAUAUCUUAUAAUUAUCUAAUUGGUUUAUAAUAUCAAAAAUAGAAAAAAUAGAAAUUAUGGAAGUACAGAAUUUGCUUUCCUACAAAGAAUAAGUGAACCACAGGAUACUGUGACAUCUACAAGUUCAGUAGUUAUGUUUUAUUAGUCAGUACCUAGAGGAGUACUUAAAGCCAUGUAAGUUGGUUGCAUUUUAUUUGGCAGCAUAACCACAGAUCAAGUUGUCCCUUUAGUCCUUUGGGUUCAAGAGGCAGAUUAAAAAAUAUUUAAUUAACUUAUUUAUUUGGCCGCACGGGGUCUUAGUUGAGGCAUGUGGGAUCUAGUUCCCUGACCAGGGAUUGAACCUGGGCCCCCUGCAUUGGGAGUGUGGAGUCUUAGCCACUGCACCACCAGGGAAAUCCCAGCAGAAUGUGAUGUUAACUGACACUUAUUAAUCCAGACUUGGAAAAAUUGCUUUUAAAAGUCAUUUAUUCAUCUGCUAAAUUAAACUUGCAAUAUCAGUGAUAAUAUUUGAUACUUAUACAGUACUUUACAGAUUUUCAAAGUAUUGCAACAUUCAUGAUUUCAUUUAAUCUUCACAACAAUUUUGCAAAGAAGACAAGAUAGUAACUAACUCCAUGUUAUAGAUAAGAAAAAUGGUGUCUUGAAAUGUAAAGUGACUUGUGUAAUAUAGUCUGGCUAGUCAGUGGUAGAAGGGAACUAAUUUCUAAGUUUUUUGAUUUCUAGGUGCAGUCACAAGGUAUUAUGGACUACAUACAGACAGAGGGAACAUAUUAGAGCACACUGCUAUUUUUUUUGUAGCAUAAAACAGUACAAUUUCAGAGAUGCCAUGAAUCCUGUCCAGGAUGGCAUAAAUAGGCAAGGAUUCAAUCUGACUGGGUAAGCUAUGGUAAAAAUAGCCUUAAUUGUAAUACUUUUAGUCAAAUGUCAGGAUCUUUGUUCUUGGGGGUAGAGUUGGACCACAGACAGAUCUACAGUGAAGAAGUGGGGAAGGGUCACAAGGACUUAAGCAUAAUAUCAGGGCCCCCAGAAGCCAUAUUGUCUAGGAUUUUUUGCCAGGUUCCAGUCUUAGCUGCAGAAUUAGAACACAAGUCAGGACUGGCAUAGCUGCUCAGAUCUAAAAGAUUGGGGAAACAUAGUGAGAAUUGGGCAUGAUGUUUGGGGAGGAGACUGCUGCUAUUUAAUAGGCUGGGGGAUGUCACCCCAGAAGUGAAACAGAAGGAAAACAGGCUAAUUGUAGAUGCUUUGACAUAUUCCAGGUAUUCUCAUUAGCAGGGCGCAAUCUGCUGGUCAGAUGUCUUUAGUCUUCUCUGCUGGACAGAGCUCAAGUGGGCAGGGGCAAGAAACAGUGCUCUUUGGCACCUGAACACAUGGUUCAACUUAUAAGGCAUGUGCUUUACCUGACAGUUAAGUGAGAUGCUCUGCUCACAUAAGUCCACAGAUUUACACCUGUGAAGUUUCCAUGUAAAAUGGGUGCUAUUGUCUUUUAUAAUAAGUCCUAUGUGUAUUUUCAUAGAAUGUUGACCGGUGAGCAUAUAUUGCUUUAUCAGUGCUUCUGGGAUUAUCUGAAAAAUAGCACAGGUAUUCUCAUGACAGGUUUAUGUUCAUAAGUUUGGUUAGCAUAAGACUUCCCUGGUGGCACAGUGGUUGAGAAUCCGCCUGCCAGUGCAGGGGACACAGGUUCAAUCCCUGGUCCGAGAAGAUCCCACAUGCCGCAGAGCAACUAAGCCUGUGUGCCACAACUACUGAGCCUGUGCUCUAGAGCCCGAGAGCCCACAACUACUGAAGCCUGCACACGUAGACCCCAUGCUCUGCAAUAAGAGAAGCCACCGCAAUGAGAAGCCCGCACACCCCAACGAAGAGUAGCUCCCGCUCACCGCAACUAGGGAAAGCCCGUGCACAGCAAUGAAGACACAUCACAACCAAAAAAUAAAUAAAUUAAAAAGAAAGUUUGGUUAGCAUAAAGCAAAAAUUAAUUCAAUGACUCACAUGUAAAGUUAAUAAACUCUUCUUUCUCCAUGUCACUAAUUUCCUAGUCUUGUGAAGGUCUGUACAUUUCUAUGGCUGAACAAAUAUGUGGAAAGUUUCUAUUUGGGUUCCCAGGAUGCUACAUUAAGUUGGUGUCAUCAGUGUGAUACUUUGCUAUUCAAAGUGUGAUCCAAGGACAAGGCAGCAUUGGUAUCUCUUGGGAGCUUGUUAGAAAAGCAGAAUAUCAAGCCUAAUGCUGGCCUACUAAAUCAGAGUGCAUUUUAUCAAGAUCUCCAGGUGAUUUGUAAGCGCAUUCAAGUUUAAGAAGCACUAGUUAUACCUUUGUGGCUCAAGGUCAUGCCUUCCUAAACCUCUAUUUUUAGGCACACUCUACUUCCUACUCUUCUGGAAUCUGUAGGCUAUCAGCUAGCCAAUUCAUUUGGUUGUUUCUUAAAUUCUAAACCUGUGACAUUGUGUGCCCUAUGCUGUCUCUUCCUUGUUUUGUCAGAGAAGGGACUUUUUCUUUUGCAUUCCCCAUGUUUUUCACCUCUUUUCACUUGAUGAUUUUUGUUUUUGGAGACAAACCAUCACUUCUAGCUUUCAGGGGACAUAUUCUCUCUCUGAUCAACUUGAAGACUUUUUCCCACGGCAUCUCUCUCAAUAACAUUGAGGUAAUGAGGUUCUGUUUACUGCCAUAUUCAAUCAUAAAUGUGAGUUGCCACUAAUAUCAAUAUUGCAUAUUUUUAAGUAGCUUUAGAGUAAAAUAAAAUAAAACCACAAAAAGGACUACUUGGUAGCUUUCUCUGCUGUGUUCAACUUUUUGUUUUGUUUAACUUUUCAUAUUACAGAAAUCUUGGACCUCAGAAAUUUCAUGUCUCUUGGCAGUAGCUAUACUUUCUGUGUCUUAGUGAUAAACAUUCUGUUAUUUUAUUCUAGAACUCUAAACCAAUUAAAGAAAAUCUUUAUUGGA